CCUACGGGGUGCAGCAGUGGGGAAUAUUGCACAAUGGGGGAAACCCUGAUGCAGCGACGCCGCGUGAGUGAAGAAGUAAUUCGUUACGUAAAGCUCUAUCAGCAGGGAAGAAAUUCUGACCUUACGGUCAGCAGACGGUACCUGAGUAAGAAGCCCCGGCUAACUACGUGCCAGCAGCCGCGGUAAUAGGAAGGGGGCAAGCUUUAACCGGAGUGACUGGGUGUAAAGGGAGCGUAGACGGUGAGGCAAGUCUGGAGGGAAAUGCCGCCGCUUAACUGCGGAACUGCUUUGGAAACUGGCGAACUGGAGUGAGGGAGGGGUAAGCGGAAUACCGAGUGUAGCGGUGAAAUGCGUAGAUAUUAGGAGGAACACCGGUGGCGAAGGCGGCUUACUGGACCGUAACUGACGUUGAGGCUCGAAGGCGUGGGGAGCAAACAGGAUUAGAUACCCGUGUAGUC
rnacentral:rRNA from 1 species